CUGGGAAUUUUGCGCAAUGGGGGUAACCCUGACGCAGCAACGCCGCGUGGGUGAGGAAGGCCUUCGGGUCGUAAAGCCCUUUUAGCAGGGAAGAACAAGAUGACGGUACCUGCAGAAAAAGCACCGGCUAACUCCGUGCCAGCAGCCGCGGUAAUACGGAGGGUGCGAGCGUUAUUCGGAUUCACUGGGCGUAAAGCGCAUGUAGGCGGUUUGGUAAGUCUGAUGUGAAAUCCCUCGACUUAAUCGAGGAAGUGCAUUGGAUACUGCCGGGCUAGAGUGCAGGAGAGGAAGAUGGAAUUCCCGGUGUAGAGGUGAAAUUCGUAGAUAUCGGGAGGAACAACAGUGGCGAAGGCGAUCUUCUGGACUGUAACUGACGCUAAAGUGCGAAAGCGUGGGUAGCAAACAGG
rnacentral:rRNA from 1 species